rnacentral:rRNA from 1 species
UACGGAGGGCGCGAGCGUUGUCCGGAAUCACUGGGCGUAAAGGGCGCGUAGGCGGCCGGAGGAGUCGCUGGUGAAAGCCCGGGGCUCAACCCCGGGUCGGCCGGCGAUACUCUCGGGCUGGAGUGCCGUAGGGGCAGGCGGAAUUCCGGGUGUAGCGGUGGAAUGCGUAGAGAUCCGGAAGAACACCGGUGGCGAAGGCGGCCUGCUGGGCGGCGACUGACGCUGAGGCGCGACAGCGUGGGGAGCAAACAGG